UGAACACAGGUAGUGAAGAAAGGCUAAGCUUUAUUAACGGAGAACCACAAGCUCCUCCCAAUUGGGAUGAAGGUACUAACAGGAGCAGUACCAGCCCCAGCCCCAGCUCCUGUCUCCGAUGGCUGUGUGAGCCUGAAAAAGGAGAUGGAUCGUUCUCUGGUCUGCAGCAGGGUGUCUCCUCCACGGCAGCCCCCUGUAGCCUGAAGAAGGAAGUUCUCUGCUGUGAUAGACAAGGACUGCUGUGCUCUGGGGAGGACUUGGCCAAAA